rnacentral:sRNA from 1 species
GCUGGGCAUGGUGGUGCGUGCCUGUAAUCCCAGCUACUUGGGAGGCUGAGGCAGGAGAUUUGCUUGAACCCAGGAGGCGGAGGUUGCAGUGAGCUGAGAUUGUGCCAUUGCACUCCAGCCUGGGUAAUAAGAGCAAAACUCUGCCUCAA